AACGAACGCUGGCGGCAGGCCUAACACAUGCAAGUCGAGCGCGCCCUUCGGGGUGAGCGGCGGACGGGUGCGUAACGCGUGGGAACGUGCCCUUUUCUACGGAAUAGCCUCGGGAAAUUGAGAGUAAUACCGCAUACGCCCUUUGGGGGCAAGAUCUGUCGGAAAAGGAUCGGCCCGCGUUGGUUUAGGUAGUUGGGGGGGUCAUGGCCUACCAAGCCGCCGAUCCAUAGCUGGUUUGAGAGGAUGCUCAGCCACACUGGGACUGUGACACGGCCCAGACUCCUACGGGAGGCAGCAGUGGGGAAUCUUAGACAAUGGGGGCAAACCUGAUCUAGCCAUGCCGCGUGAGUCAUGUAGUCCUUAGGGUUGUAAAGCUCUUUCAGCUGAGAAGAUAAUGACGGUACCUGCAGAAGAAGCCCCGGCUAACUCCGUG
rnacentral:rRNA from 1 species